rnacentral:lncRNA from 13 species
CUGUUAUCUAUUUUUUGUGACUUCUCAUGAGCCUAUAUUAUUUCAAAAUAAAGAGUUGAAAAAAGAAAAUGAAAUAUUAACUUUUUCAGAUGUACAAAACUAAAAGAAUUCAUCACUAGCACAUCUGCUCAAGAAAAUAUUGAAAGAAGUGCUCCAGGCAGAGGCAAAAAUAAUACCUAAACAAAGAAAUAAAGAGCACCAAAAAUUGUGUGACGCCGUUGACAGCGUGCAGAUGCAGUAAAUGAGAAAGUAGAGAAGCAGAGAAUUUGGCAAUACUGCACCUGCAU